GAUUAUGGCUCAGGAUGAACGCUAGCUACAGGCUUAACACAUGCAAGUCGAGGGGUAGCAGGGUAGCAAUACCGCUGACGACCGGCGCACGGGUGAGUAACACGUAUCCAACCUUCCCAUAACUCAGGGAUAGCCUUUCGAAAGAAAGAUUAAUACCUGAUAGUACUUUUUCAAGGCAUCUUGAGAAAGUUAAAGAUUUAUUGGUUAUGGAUGGGGAUGCGUUCCAUUAGAUAGUUGGUGAGGUAACGGCUCACCAAGUCUUCGAUGGAUAGGGGUUCUGAGAGGAAGGUCCCCCACAUUGGUACUGAGACACGGACCAAACUCCUACGGGAGGCAGCAGUGAGGAAUAUUGGUCAAUGGGCGAGAGCCUGAACCAGCCAAGUAGCGUGAAGGAUGAAGGUCCUAUGGAUUGUAAACUUCUUUUAUAGUAGAAUAAAGUGAUCCACGUGUGGAUUUUUGUAUGUAUACUAUGAAUAAGGAUCGGCUAACUCCGUGCCAGCAGCGGC
rnacentral:rRNA from 1 species